rnacentral:rRNA from 1 species
UACGUAGGGUGCAGGCGUUAAUCGGAAUUACUGGGCGUAAAGCGUGCGCAGGCGGUCUGCUAAGACAGGUGUGAAAUCCCCGGGCUUAACCUGGGAACUGCGCUUGUUACUGGCAGGCUGGAGUGUGGCAGAGGGGGGUGGAAUUCCACGUGUAGCAGUGAAAUGCGUAGAGAUGUGGAGGAACACCGAUGGCGAAGGCAGCCCCCUGGGCUAACACUGACGCUCAUGCACGAAAGCGUGGGGAGCAAACGGG